rnacentral:rRNA from 1 species
UACGUAGGGGGCAAGCGUUGUCCGGAAUCAUUGGGCGUAAAGAGCGCGUAGGCGGCCCUGUAAGUCCGCUGUGAAAGUCAAGGGCUCAACCCUUGGAUGCCGGUGGAUACUGCAGGGCUAGAGUCCGGAAGAGGCGAGUGGAAUUCCUGGUGUAGCGGUGAAAUGCGCAGAUAUCAGGAGGAACACCGGUGGCGAAGGCGGUUCUCUGGGCAUGUUCUGACGCUGAGGAGCGAAAGUGUGGGGAGCGAACAGG